rnacentral:rRNA from 1 species
AUUGAACGCUGGCGGCAGGCUUAACACAUGCAAGUCGAGCGGGGUGAUGGUGCUUGCACUAUCACUUAGCGGCGGACGGGUGAGUAAUGCUUAGGAAUCUGCCUAUUAGUGGGGGACAACAUCUCGAAAGGAAUGCUAAUACCGCAUACGCCCUACGGGGGAAAGCAGGGGAUCUUCGGACCUUGCGCUAAUAGAUGAGCCUAAGUCGGAUUAGCUAGUUGGUGGGGUAAAGGCCUACCAAGGCGACGAUCUGUAGCGGGUCUGAGAGGAUGAUCCGCCACACUGGGACUGAGACACGGCCCAGACUCCUACGGGAGGCAGCAGUGGGGAAUAUUGGACAAUGGGCGGAAGCCUGAUCCAGCCAUGCCGCGUGUGUGAAGAAGGCCUUUUGGUUGUAAAGCACUUUAAGCGAGGAGGAGGCUCUUAAGGUUAAUACCCUUGAUGAGUGGACGUUACUCGCAGAAUAAGCACCGGCUAACUCUGUGCCAGCAGCCGCCGUAA